UACGGGGGGGGCAAGCGUUGUUCGGAAUUACUGGGCGUAAAGGGCUCGUAGGCAGCCAACUAAGUCAGACGUGAAAUCCCUCGGCUUAACCGGGGAACUGCGUCUGAUACUGGAUGGCUUGAGAUUGGGAGAGGGAUGCGGAAUUCCAGGUGUAGCGGUGAAAUGCGUAGAUAUCUGGAGGAACACCGGUGGCGAAGGCGGCAUCCUGGACCAAUUCUGACGCUGAGUGAGCGAAAGCCAGGGGAGCAAACGGG
rnacentral:rRNA from 1 species